AGUGCAUUGAACGCUUCCGCUUUGGAAAUCCACACAGUCGAGAAGAAAGAUGCCUUCAGGUAAAUGAGGGAGAAGAUGACCAUCUGUUUUGGUGGAUGCGCACAUCCCCUCCAUCCAGUUCAACACCAACACAACCAUCAGAGAAAUAUAGCAGAGAUAUUAUCUGAAUCAUCCCACUGUGAUCAAGAAGAACCAGAGAUACUGCAGCUACAAGAGAGGCCCAGCCGUUUACUGCAGAGGAGUGAGCAUUCACUCAGCAGUGGCUCUGUGCCAGAUCUGGGGGUCUGGGCUGCUCUGAUUUCUCUUCCCCCGUAAGCACCGAUGAGCCGGUCCGAAGACCGUGUCCACCUUAAUGGUCUCAACCAACAGUAAGUAAUAGGUGUAACACAUAAAUUACUGUACAUAUUUACUGUACAUCUUGUAACACACACACACCCUAUUUAUCUUUUCCUGAACAUCUUUGUGUUUCCGAUUUCAAAAAACACACCCUUAUCAGAUUAAAGUGUACCCACACCUCUGACCUCAAAUGCAAAAAAAAAGCAAAAAUGGUUGUGUAAACAUUCUCCAUUAACUAAAACCAAACAGAAAAGGAUAUAAAUGCCAUUUUGGCUUGCUAGGUAAUUAUAAUAGUGCAAUAAAAGUGCAUUAGAGCAUUUUGUUUGUUUGUUUUUGUGUCUUUAAGUGUUUCUAGAGCCUAGUUUGUGUGAGGAAAUGUCUUUUAUUCUUCUUGCGGUUGGUUCUGAGGGGUCCGGUGUCUGGUGUGAAGAUGACAUCCUGUUUUAGUGGCGACUAAGAAGGAAGAUGGAACAGGCCAGACAAUGGUGUCAGGAGGCCCCUUUCCAUAAUUCUGUUCUCCAUAUACCUCUAUCACACAGUGUCAGACAAAACCAGGUGAACCAACACCACAGUGCACAUCAGGGUUAUUCCUUUUUGAUUAAUAUGUGCCCAAAAGUUAAAUGUUUCAGAAUAUAUAAAAUAAUAUUAUAUUAUAUCCUAUGAUAUAAUAUAAUUUUCAAACGUUU